rnacentral:rRNA from 1 species
AUGAACGCUGGCGGCGUGCCUAAUACAUGCAAGUCGCGCGAACAGACGAGGAGCUUGCUCCUCUGACGUUAGCGGCGGACGGGUGAGUAACACGUGGAUAACCUACCUAUAAGACUGGGAUAACUUCGGGAAACCGGAGCUAAUACCGGAUAAUAUAUUGAACCGCAUGGUUCAAUAGUGAAAGACGGUUUUGCUGUCACUUAUAGGUGGAUCCGCGCCGCAUUAGCUAGUUGGUAAGGUAACGGCUUACCAAGGCGACGAUGCGUAGCCGACCUGAGAGGGUGAUCGGCCACACUGGAACUGAGACACGGUCCAGACUCCUACGGGAGGCAGCAGUAGGGAAUCUUCCGCAAUGGGCGAAAGCCUGACGGAGCAACGCCGCGUGAGUGAUGAAGGUCUUCGGAUCGUAAAACUCUGUUAUUAGGGAAGAACAAAUGUGUAAGUAACUAUGCACGUCUUGACGGUACCUAAUCAGAAAGCCACGGCUAACUACGUG